rfam:Gossypium raimondii Chr04_contig_156, whole genome shotgun sequence.
AAUAACCAAAUAUAACACUUGCGUUAAGAGUCAAGUUGGUAAUUUCUUUUAUAUCUUCCCCUCUCGACACCCAAGUAUUAUAUAUGCCCCCAAAAUAAAGAGACUUGAACAUUAGAAGAAAGCACCUAUACCGAACAAAAUUAAGUGAAUACGCAAAAUUGUGACCACUUUAUUUCUAUCUUUCCA